AAACUCCUUCCUCAGGACCGUGGGAUGCGGGUGAGCUCUGACCGACCCUUCUGCCCCACCCCACUCCCCCGCAUCCCGGGUGCAACCGGAUGGCAAAAAUCAAAGCUGGCUCCAAUUUACCCCAGUUGUCUUCCUUUGAACACUCAUAAGUUUCUAAUCUUAUAUGCAAUGUUUUACAAAUGAAGCAACUCACUAAAGAAGGGAAGUCAGUUCUAUGAAGGUGAUGGGAAACUACAAAUUCCAGAAUUUAGUAGUUAUAUAUGAUAGAAAACUAAGGAAGAAAAAUGUUCAUGAUACAUAUCUGGAGCGAUAAAUACACGAUAAUCAUGCAAUCCUGUAACAGAAAGAAGAAUUAUUUUACAAUAAACCCAAUGUUAAAUACAAGUAGAGUAAUAUUGUCCUAGUGAGAAAUAUAGCAAAUGAAAUGACACUACAAAAGGACACUUAUGAAACUUCCUCUAUGUUUAGAAUUUUCCAGUUGAAUUUUCCUUGUUAAUAAUUUGUGACCACUGAGAUAUGGUUAGUGAACAAGCCAGUCAAACUUUUCUGUCUUGAUUUUUCUAUCUCAUAUCUACAAAUCCAGUAAUGCAACUUGUAGUAACUGCACUUGAUGUUAGGAGGGUGAUUUUGCUGCUUGUUUGCUUGGGUUUUGCUCGAGACCUGAUUUUACAUACCCUGACUCAUUCCGGAAUAUCUUGUGCAUGUGAGCACUGUUUGUAGGGUCAUCUACUUAUUUUGUGCAAGAGGGACAGCUUUUUCAUACUGGGGAUUCCUAUAGGCACAGAAAAGGGGUACUGUAGGAAAGCAACUAUUUUUCAAGGCCACUGGGCAUUUAUUCCUUCAUUUGACUUCAGUGAAAACUGUGAAAACUUGGUAUUAAAACAAAUGUGCCCAUUUUUCUUUAGAAAGUGAAGUGUUGAUGGAAAUCUGACUUGUGUAUCUCUGGCUAUAGUAAAUGGGAAAAUUC